rnacentral:rRNA from 1 species
ACAGAGGCUCCAAGCGUUAGGCGGAAUCACUGGGCUUAAAGCGUGCGUAGGCGGCUCUUCAAGUGCUUUGUGAAAGCCCUCGGCUCAACCGAGGAAUUGCUUGGCAUACUGAGGAGCUUGAAUCAUCUAGGGGCAACUGGAACUGACGGUGGAGCGGUGAAAUGCGUAGAUAUCGUCAGGAACGCCAACGGUGAAAACAGGUUGCUGGGGAUGUAUUGACGCUGAUGCACGAAAGCCAGGGGAGCGAACGGGA